GCUAAAUGUAGCCGGCCCGGUUCCGUCAUCUCUGCUCUUCUCAGAAAGCCUUCCGUGCUGCUGAGUGCGUCUCCGAUGGGAAGCGCUGCAAUGAAUGGAAUCAGAUGUCGACAGUGAGCCAGUUUCCUUUUUGUUCUAAGGAAGACUGCGGGAAGUAAGCAGCAUCCUCUCUGUCUUCAUACAUGUUUCAUUUGCUCAACGGUUUUAUUCCGAGCUGUCGCUCUAAAGGAGGAAGGAGAGAAGAGAGAGAGAGGAGGAGAGAAAACAGGCCCAGCAGAAUAUUCAUCAACGUCAGAACCCUCAUUUCCAGGUCACACCGCGCACGUCCAAUCACGCAUGACGCGCGCAGGUGGAAACACCUCCACGCGCCCUCACCGUUACUCUGCGGGAUGCGCCAAUGCCUUUACUCAUCACAUGAUGCCGCAGUGGAAUUGUACACAGACCUGCUUUGUCCCACUUUUUCUCUUUUAAUGUCUGUUCAGGCUAAUGAGGUGAAACAUUAGCUUGAGGGACCACCGGGGAAGCUUUCGGGGUCAACAGCACGCAGAGUCCUUUUUGGUGUGAGAUCGCUGCAGAUUGCGUA
ensembl:lncRNA